GCUGUGGAACUCCUACGGGAGGCAGCAGUAGGGAAUAUUGGGCAAUGGACGAGAGUCUGACCCAGCCAUGCCGCGUGCAGGAAGAAGGCGUUCUGCGUUGUAAACUGCUUUUAUCUGGGAAGAAGAGGCCCAUGCGUGGGACAUUGCCGGUACCAGAUGAAUAAGCACCGGCUAACUCCGUGCCAGCAGCCGCGGUAAUACGGAGGGUGCAAGCGUUGUCCGGAUUUAUUGGGUUUAAAGGGUGCGUAAGCGGCUACUUAAGUCAGCGGUGAAAGACUCCGGCUCAACCGGAGCAGUGCCAUUGAUACUGGAUAGCUUGAGUGUUGGAGGGGUACAUGGAAUUGAUGGUGUAGCGGUGAAAUGCAUAGAUACCAUCAGGAACACCGAUAGCGAAGGCAUUGUACUGGCCAACAACUGACGCUGAGGCACGAAAGCAUGGGGAGCGAACAGGAUUAGAAACCCUUGUAGUCCUACCACGU
rnacentral:rRNA from 1 species